CCAGGCUGAAUCUGUUUUGCAGCAUGAAAAGAAGGAACACAGUGCCAUUGUCCUGGAAAGAAGUGAGCGCUGCCCAGCUCCCAGCCUGUCGUACAUGGCAGGGCUGCCCUGGCCCUGAGCGGGCUGAUUCCACUGGAGAGAUGCUUUUAACCCAGAUCCACUUUAGGGAUCUGAGAACCAGCCAUCUAGCCUUGAAAUCCAUAGAAAUGCCAGGGAAAAUCACUCUCUUCCACUGGCCUGCUGACUACAGAGGGAGCCCAGGGUGACCACCUGGCUGGUUUAACUGCUCAUCAAUGAAUCACAACGCUGCACGGAACAAGUAACUUUCCUUAAAGGACCCCCUCUAAAAUCUUUUCAGGUUUCAGCAGGUAUAUGAUGGCAGGAAUCUGCUACAAAUUUCUAUGAAGAAAUAUAUUGCCAGUAGGGAAUUAAAAAGGCAAAAAGUGUUGCUUAGCCUAUCUGUAGAGAGAACGACAUGAAAUAACAGGAAUAUGCAAAACUAAACCAGCCCAACACUGACAGCUGGACUAAUCAUCAUAAAGAAACUCAGUGACCAUACUUUGAUGACAAGCCAGAUGGCAGCUGUUCCCCAAGCCCAGUGCCAAGAAAGAUGAUUGGAGCUGCAAUUUACCUUCCGUGGUGAAGCUCAAUGCUGGAGCAUACCACAGCUGCGGAUUUGGCUGCUGCCAGUAGGUGUGUGCACAGUUGGUUUCCUCCCAAUUUGGAUUCAUCAGCUGUGCUUUUUGCUGGGAUCCUUUAGAAGACCAGACUCUGAAUCCUGGUAUUAAGACUUGCUACAAUUCUCCAAGGCAUUCAGGGACCAGUUGUCUGGCUUGGAAAACUACUUCUUAGUGGUUCAGUAUGUUCACAAACUUCCUUUAGGUAAAAAAAGGUGUGUGAAGGUGAUGAGGACAGAUCCUUUUGGAGCUGCUCAGCACUGGGGAAGGCAUGCAGACAGCAGAAAAGCCAUUUGCUGGGAUAACAGCCGUUCCAGAUGUGUGAAAAGCCCAACAUGCAUAGAAAAAUAUGAAGCAGAACUUUGGCAGUGCACAGUUACGAGAGGAGAUUAUGUUAUUGAAAUGGUGAGGUGUGAGGCAGACUCGAUCUCACACACAUGUGGCCUUGUUGCAGCUUCUCAGAAGAUAAACAAUUAGGUGGGAUCAGAGAGCGAGAGAGGGAAGAGACGUCUCUGCCAUGAUGCAGGCCAGUGGAGAUAAAGCAAUGAACCACAGAUGAUCUUCACUGGUCCAUCCAUGACCGCUCUGCUGUGAUUUCUGUGACAUGUCCUUCAAAAGAGCAUUCACCUUUCUGUUGCAGCUGCUGACCUCUUGCUUCUGCCUGUUUCUCCAUGUUUUACCAUCCACUUCAGAAAGGGGCUAGCAAUUAUGUGCCUGAUGUUUCCCUAACCUUGACCACCUUGAAAUGUGAUUUUGUGAUUUUUGUUGAAAUAUAGGACAUGGAUCCCUUGCAGGCUUUUACAAACAUGAGAGUUCCCAUGUGUCGUUGACACUGAUGAAUUGCUAGAUCACUACAGAACAACUUGGAAAUGGCAACGAAGCUGGCUCCACUGCAGCUAACUUGAGCUCCUGAGAGGGACCAGAGGGGUUUUUUGAUUCUUUUUAUUAUGUGAUAUCAAUUAAGCAUUUAACAAGUUACAAUAAAAAGCAACUUUCCAAUGGAAUUUUUAAUGCAAUGAAAACAAAUUACCUUCAAGAUGGUUAUCAUUUGGAAUCUUGAAGAGAAUGAAAAUAAGGCAAAUGCCAACACAUAUUCAUCCAGAUUGCCCAUAACAACUUGCCAGGCAUCCCUGUUUCAAAUCAAGUAAAUCUGUGCAGCUUCUCUUUGACAGCAACACAAAAUCCCUUGUGAAAUGUAUUGAAUGGCACAGCUGAGGCAGAAUGUUAGCAGAAGAUACUGCGCCAAGCAGCUUUUGUUUUGAAGUGGGUACUUCUGUUAUGCAAUCCUCUUAGAAUUUGCUUCUUUCAAAGAAUGAAAGACAAAAAAAAAUAGCCUCAGCAAACAAAAACCACAAAUCCCAUACAUUUCUUAGCUUGGUUGAUGCUUCUCCACUUGGACACAGUAUAUUCACAGCAAUUCCAAAAUUCUGGCAUUGUCACAUACUAUAUUUGUGUCACUCAGCUGGAAUAAAGGACCAAACAGUGCAUGGCUGGGAUGAAGGUGUUUAGUGGAAGCGUGAGGCUUCAACUCUCUCAACAAGAAACAUAAACAGAAAAUAGAAGUGGAAUUCACUAAUAUCAACAAUGUGCUAAAUAAGCCCAUGAGCAACUUUAACAACUCACUUUAAUUCUGAGACUUUCUGUAGUCACAAGGAAGAUGAGACUACGGACAGAACUUUCUUAAUAUGGAAACAUGAAUUUAUAAGCUUAAGAUCUUGUCCAUGUAAUUUUGCAUAUAUCCAAAAUAAAGAAACCUAAACUUAA